GACAUACUCCCUCCGUCCCAAAAUUCUUGUCUUAGAUUUGUCUAGAUAUGGAUGUAUCUAACACUGAAACAUAACUAGAUGCAUCCGUAUUUAGACAAAUAUAAGACAAGAAUUUUGGGACGGAGGGAGUAUUAA
rfam:Triticum aestivum genome assembly, contig: Triticum_aestivum_CS42_TGACv1_scaffold_306582_4AS